UACGAAGGGGGCUAGCGUUGCUCGGAAUCACUGGGCGUAAAGCGCACGUAGGCGGAUUGUUAAGUCAGGGGUGAAAUCCUGGAGCUCAACUCCAGAACUGCCUUUGAUACUGGCGAUCUUGAGUCCGGGAGAGGUGAGUGGAACUCCGAGUGUAGAGGUGAAAUUCGUAGAUAUUCGGAAGAACACCAGUGGCGAAGGCGGCUCACUGGCCCGGUACUGACGCUGAGGCGCGAAAGCGUGGGGAGCAAACAGG
rnacentral:rRNA from 1 species